rnacentral:lncRNA from 1 species
CAUUACUAUCAUUACUCAGUAGCCACUAAAUUUAAUUCAUCAACAGAUUAUUAAAUGUCUUUUUUGAGCAGAACACUGUUCUGAGGCACAGGGAAUUAAUUACAAAGUCAAAAAUCAAAAUAAUCCCCAUUUUCCAGAAGCUUCCCUUCUAAGGGUGUGAUAAUGUAAUGUAGAGAGGUGGGAGAAAUACAAUAUGUAUACAAAUGAGUAAUAAUUACCCCCAAUUUAAAAAGGAAUAAAGACAGAAUGAAGAAAUGGGGAUAUAGGGAAGGGUCUUGGGAUCUGAUGGCAUUUGAGUUGUGCUUUGAAGGAAAAGAGAAGACUGAGAGAUGGAAUGCAUUCCAGACAUGGCAGAGAACUUGCACAAAUGUUAUAUAUGAGGAAUAGCCAGUUUGACUAGAACAGAGAUUUUGAAAAGGGAAAUAAUUACAAAUAACCUUGGAAAGAUAAGUCGGAGCCAGAUUGUGCAGAGACUCAAUGCCAGACUGAAGGUUUUGUAUUUUAUCCUGGUUAUAGUUGUUGUUGGUCCUUUGUUUUUUCGAAGAAGACCAAUGACAUCACAACGUUGGAAUUAGGGUACAGGAGUUUGGCUGUGGACGAUGAGAACAAUAUGAAUUUUCAGACACCCAGAAGACUGCCAAAUCCCACCGCUGAUUGGUCCAGGGAGAGGACCAAUUCCCUGGGCAGUCUGCAUGCUCCUGCAUGUGGUUAUAUCUCCAAGGUACCCACACCUGCUGCUAUGUCACUCGCUAGCCCCAGAACUUCAAGAGUCAUUGGUGUCCAGUGGCAAGACAGACCUCAAAAUGGCUGAUCAAUGCCUGGGAUGCAUUGAAUAACCUUGGCAUCUUCAUGGUCUGACCAAGGUCAGUGUACUCCACA